CCUACGGGAUGCACCAGUGGGGAAUAUUGCACAAUGGGCGCAAGCCUGAUGCAGCCAUGCCGCGUGUAUGAAGAAGGCCUUCGGGUUGUAAAGUACUUUCAGCGAGGAGGAAGGCAUUAAGGUUAAUAAGCUUGAUGAUUGACGUUACUCGCAGAAGAAGCACCGGCUAACUCCGUGCCAGCAGCCGCGGUAAUACGGAGGGCGCAAGCGUUAAUCGGAAUUACUGGGCGUAAAGCGCACGCAGGCGGUCUGUCAAGUCGGAUGUGAAAUCCCCGGGCUCAACCUGGGAACUGCAUCCGAAACUGGCAGGCUAGAGUCUUGUAGAGGGGGGUAGAAUUCCAGGUGUAGCGGUGAAAUGCGUAGAGAUCUGGAGGAAUACCGGUGGCGAAGGCGGCCCCCUGGACAAAGACUGACGCUCAGGUGCGAAAGCGUGGGGAGCAAACAGGAUUAGAUACCCUUGUAGUC
rnacentral:rRNA from 1 species